rnacentral:rRNA from 1 species
UGAGUACGAGAUGCUACGGCAUUGAAGCAGUCUAUGUCAUACUUCCAAGAAAAGCUUGCACUGUCAUAAACAAAGAAUGCCUGUACCAUAACCGACACAGGUGGGUAGGUAGAGUAUACUAAGGGGCGCGAGAUAACUCUCUCUAAGGAACUCGGCAAAAUGACUCCGUAACUUCGGGAGAAGGAGUGCCUUAUUUUUAAGGUUGCAAUAACAAGAUCCAAGCAACUGUUUAUCAAAAACACAGGUCUCCGCUAAGUCGUAAGACGAUGUAUGGGGGCUGACGCCUGCCCAGUGCCAGAAGGUUAAAGAAGUUGGUUAGCAUUCGCGAAGCUGAUAACUGAAGCCCUGGUGAACGGCGGCCGUAACAAUAACGGUCCUAAGGUAGCGAAAUUCCUUGUCGGGUAAGUUCCGACCCGCACGAAAGGCGUAAUGAUUUGGAUACUGUCUCGGAGAGGGACUCGGUGAAAUAGACUUGUCUGUGAAGAUGCGGACUACCUGCACCUGGACAGAAAGACCCUAUGAAGCUUUACUGUAACUUGAAAUUGAAAUUGGACUUUAGUUGCGCAGGAUAGGUGGGAGGCGUUGAGAAUAUUCUUGCGGGAGUAUUGGAGCCAUCAGUGAGAUACCACUCUUCUAAUGUUAGAUUUCUAACUUUGUAUCAUUAUCUGGUCAAAGAACAGUUUCAGGCGGGCAGUUUGACUGGGGCGGUCGCCUCCUAAAGGGUAACGGAGGCGCACAAAGGUUUCCUCUGAACGAGUAGAAAUCGUAUCUAGAGUGUAAAGGCAUAAGGAAGCUUGACUGUGAGACCUACAAGUCGAGCAGGGACGAAAGUCGGUCUUAGUGAUCUGACGGUGCUGAGUGGAAAGGCCGUCACUCAACGGAUAAAAGUUACUCUAGGAUAACAGGCUGAUCUCCCCCAAGAGUUCACAUCGACGGGGAGGUUUGGCACCUCGAUGUCGGCUCAUCGCAUCCUGGGGCGGUAGUACGUCCCAAGGGUUGGGCUGUUCGCCCAUGAAAGCGGUACGCGAGCUGGGUUCAGAACGUCGUGAGACAGUUCGGUCCAUAUCCGGUGUAGGCGCUAGAAUAUUGAGAGGAGCCUUCUCUAGUACGAGAGGACCGAGAAGGACAUACCUCUAGUGUACCAGUUAUCGUGCCAACGGUAAACGCUGGGUAGCUAUGUAUGGAGUGGAUAACCGCUGAAAGCAUCUAAGUGGGAAGCCCACCUCAAGAUAAGUAUUCCC